rnacentral:rRNA from 1 species
UAGAUACCCGGGUAGUCCACGCCGUAAACGAUGAUAACUAGCCGUUGGGGGGAUUUACCCUUUAGUGGCGAAGCUAACGCGUUAAGUUAUCCGCCUGGGGAGUACGGCCGCAAGGUUAAAACUCAAAGGAAUUGACGGGGACCCGCGCAAGCGGUGGAGCAUGUGGUUUAAUUCGAUGCAACGCGAAGAACCUUACCUGGUCUUGACAUCCUGCGAACUUUCUAGAAAUAGAUUGGUGCCUUCGGGAACGCAGUGACAGGUGCUGCAUGGCCGCCGUCAG